UACGAAGGGGGCGAGCGUUGUUCGGAAUUACUGGGCGUAAAGGGCGCGCAGGCGGCUCUGAAAGUCAGAUGUGAAAGCCCCGGGCUUAACCUGGGAAUUGCAUUUGAUACUCUGGAGCUUGAGUGUGGGAGAGGAGAGUGGAAUUCCCAGUGUAGAGGUGAAAUUCGUAGAUAUUGGGAAGAACACCGGUGGCGAAGGCGGCUCUCUGGACCACAACUGACGCUGAGGCACGAAAGCGUGGGAGCAAACAGG
rnacentral:rRNA from 1 species